UUUCCCCAAAUCAUAAACCCUUAUUAUUUUCCCCAAUUCUUCCGCGAAAUCUCCAUCUCCAAUCUGAUCGUUUUCCAUCUCCAAUCCGACCAUCUUCCGGCCUCGUCACCAUUCGCCCCUACUCCUGGCCGUCUGUUCACUCUGGCGUGGCCAUCUAUUCGCUUCGAUGUGUCCAUCGUUUUCGUCUUCUCCGGCGCUGCCAUUCGUGCCCACUGUCACCUCCUCUGCCGGAUUCAAUAUUUAACAAAAACGUCUACAUGCUUGCAAGAUAAUAUAUGGGUCCUCGAAAAUGUUCUGCUCCGUUUUCCUGAUAAUUUAUGUUCCAGACUUAUGAUGAAAUGAUUAUUGGAGAACAUUCUAGGGAAUCAGAUCUAGAUGUUAAUCUUGUAAGAACUAAAGAAAACUUACCAAUAUCCGUUCUACUUGCAAAGAUGAAAACAUGAAGCUAUCUCCACCUCGACUUAGAUGAGUCUUGAAGAAGCGAUAGGAUAUGUUACAUCUGAUGAAUUUAUUAAGGGAGAUGGAUCUCUUGCUAGUUCCUUAUUCCUCAUAUCCCAGCCUAAAAAUAAUCCAAAUGCCUCCCUUUUUACUAGCCAGCAAGAUUCCAAUAGCAUUGGAUAUGGCUGUUGAAUUUCGAUCCAGAGAUUCUGACCUAUGGAAGCACAUUUAUGCAGAUGAGUACAUGAAAUGUGAAGUGAUAGAGUGUUGUGAAUCUUUAAAAAAUGUCCUGAAUGUUUUGGCAGUUGGAGAAAAUGAGAAAAGUUAAAGAAAGUGUUAAACAAUUUGCUCAAGUUAACAUUGCUCCCCAUGCCACAAAAGUUGAUCAACCCAACUCUUUUCCAAAUGAUGUUAACUUAUGGAAGCUCAUUCGGGACUUCGAUCUCCAUGGAAUUAGAACAUCAGGAUAUCGGGAGGCGUGCAACACUAUUCAUCGUCUUAUGUACACUCAAACCCUAGUUCUACCUCUGCUAUCCUCUCAGUUUUGUCCUCUUUUCGAGUCAUCAUUCGUUGGUGUUCAACGUAGCUCUGUCGGUUCACUUCAUUGUCGUCUCUUCUCUGUCCAGUGCAAUUGAUUUUUGCGUUUCGUCAAGCCAAAAGACUAUCGUGGGACAUUGUCGCUAUCUUCUAGAUAACCAUGUUUUGCGUAGAAGUAGGCUACAUGAUGAAAAAGUAGAGCGUAAGGCAUCUUCAGUGGAUUCGUUUCUAAUAUUUCACGAUGUAUGAAUGCAAAUGAGGAGAAAAUAUCAGGUCUCAAAAUGCAUGACUGUCAUGUUCUGUUACACCGACUUCUACCAAUCAAUGUUCAUCCAUUCUUACCGAGAAAUGUGUACACAACUGUUACUAAACUGUGUAAUUUUUUUUUCA